rnacentral:miRNA from 1 species
UAUUAGGUUGGUGCAAAAGUAAUUGCAGUUUUUGCUAUUUUUAUGACAAAAACUGCAAUUACUUUUGCACCAGCCUAAUAUU